rnacentral:rRNA from 1 species
AUGUGCACGAGGAAGCAAGAAGGGGGACUUGGAUUCAGGGACCCGGGAGUUUUCAACCAAGCUUUGCUUGCUAAGCAAGCGUGGAGGUUGCUGCAGUUGCCAAACUCAUUGUGUGCAAGAGUGCUCAAAGCGAGGUACUAUCCAAAUAGCUCCAUACUCAAUGCCACUUGUCCCGAUGGGGGGUCCUUCAUGUUCAGAAGCAUCAUUCACGACCGUGAAUUACUCUUGGAGGGGCUCAUUUGGCGUAUUGGAGAUGGAUCAAGAGUCUGUAUUCAUCAUGACAACUAG